rnacentral:misc_RNA from 1 species
GAUGAAGAACGUAGCGAAAUGCGAUAAGUAAUGUGAAUUGCAGAAUUCAGUGAAUCAUCGAAUCUUUGAACGCACAUUGCGCCCUAUGGUAUUCCGUAGGGCAUGCCUGUUCGAGCGUCAUUACAACCCUCAAGCUCUGCUUGGUAUUGGGCGUCGUCCCCUAAACGGACGUGCCUCAAAGACCUCGGCGGUGGCGUCUUUGCCUCAAGCGUAGUAAUAUUUUUAUCUCGCUUUGGAGUCGAAGGCGUCGCCCGCCGGACGAAACCUUUAUUUUUUCUAUCAAGGUUGACCUCGGAUCAGGUAGGGAUACCCGCUGAACUUAAGCAUAUCAUAAGCGGAGGA